UACCAGCACCCCGAGUGGUCGGGACGAUUAUUGGGCCUAAAGCAUCCGUAGCCGGUUCUGCAAGUCCCCCGUUAAAUCCAGCUGCUCAACAGAUGGGCCGCGGAGGAUACUACAGAGCUAGGAGGCAGGAGAGGCAAGCGGUACUCAGUGGGUAGGGGUAAAAUCCGUUGAUCCAUUGAAGACCACCAGUGGCGAAGGCGGCUUGCCAGAAUGCGCUCGACGGUGAGGGAUGAGAGCUGGGGGAGCAAACCGG
rnacentral:rRNA from 1 species